UCCAGGGUAGCCGAGUGGAAAAGGCACCUGCCCGGUAAGCAGAAGGGUGUGGGUUCGAUUCCCGCCCCUGGAC
rnacentral:tRNA from 1 species